AAUAGAUACCCGGUAGUCCAUGCCGUAAACGUUGGGAACUAGAUGUAGGGCCUGUUCCACGGGUUCUGUGUCGUAGCUAACGCAUUAAGUUCCCGCCUGGGGAGUACGGCCGCAAGGCUAAAACUCAAAGGAAUUGACGGGGGCCCGCACAAGCGGCGGAGCAUGCGGAUUAAUUCGAUGCAACGCGAAGAACCUUACCAAGGCUUGACAUAUAGCAGAACACCGUAGAAAUACGGGACUCUUUGGACACUGUUAUACAGGUGGUGCAUGGUUGUCGUCAGCUCGUGUCGUGAGAUGUUCGGUUAAGUCCGGCAACGAGCGCAACCCUCGUCCUAUGUUGCCAGCACGUUAUGGUGGGAACUCAUGGGAUACUGCCGUGGUCAACACGGAGGAAGGUGGGGAUGACGUCAAAUCAUCAUGCCCCUUAUGUCUUGGGCUUCACGCAUGCUACAAUGGCCGGUACAAUGGGCUGCGAUACCGUAAGGUGGAGCGAAUCCCAAAAAGCCGGUCUCAGUUCGGAUUGGGGUCUGCAACUCGA
rnacentral:rRNA from 1 species